AAGGUUCUUUCGGGAACUGGAGAGUGGCGCACGGGUGAGUAACGCGUGGGGACCUACCUCUUAGUGGGGGAUAACGGUUGGAAACGACCGCUAAUACCGCAUACGCCCUUCGGGGGAAAGAUUUAUCGCUAAGAGAUGGACCCGCGUUGGAUUAGAUAGUUGGUGAGGUAACGGCUCACCAAGUCAGCGAUCCAUAGCUGGUUUGAGAGGAUGAUCAGCCACACUGGGACUGAGACACGGCCCAUACUCCUACGGGAGGCAGCAGUGGGGAAUAUUGGACAAUGGGCGGAAGCCUGAUCCAGCCAUGCCGCGUGAGUGAAGAAGGCCUUCGGGUUGUAAAGCUCUUUCAGAUGCGAAGAUGAUGACGGUAACAUCAGAAGAAGCCCCGGCUAAUUUCGUGCCAGCAGCCGCGGUAAUACGAAAGGGGCAAGCGUUGUUCGGAUUUACUGGGCGUAAAGGGCACGCAGGCGGUCUUGCCCANUCAAG
rnacentral:rRNA from 1 species